CCUACGGGAGGCAGCAGUAGGGAAUAUUGCUCAAUGGGGGAAACCCUGAAGCAGCAACGCCGCGUGGAGGAUGAAGGUUUUCGGAUUGUAAACUCCUUUUGUUAGAGAAGAUAAUGACGGUAUCUAACGAAUAAGCACCGGCUGACUCCGUUCCAGCAGCCGCGGUACUACGGAGGGUGCAAGCGUUACUCGGAAUCACUGGGCGUAAAGAGCGCGUAGGCGGGAUAGCAAGUCAGAUGUGAAAUCCUAUGGCUUAACCAGAGAACUGCAUGUGAAACUGGUAUUCUAGAGUAUGGGAGAGGUAGGUGGAAUUCUUGGUGUAGGGGUAAAAUGCGUAGAGAUCAAGAGGAAUACUGAUUGCGAAGGCGACCUGCUGGAACGGAACUGACGCUGAUGCGCGAAAGCGUGGGGAGCGAACAGGAUUAGAUACCCGGGUAGUC
rnacentral:rRNA from 1 species